rnacentral:rRNA from 1 species
AUUGAACGCUGGCGGCAGGCCUAACACAUGCAAGUCGAACGAGUGGCGGACGGGUGAGUAAUGUCUGGGAAACUGCCCGAUGGAGGGGGAUAACUACUGGAAACGGUAGCUAAUACCGCAUACCAUCGGAUGUGCCCAGAUGGGAUUAGCUAGUAGGUGGGGUAACGGCUCACCUAGGCGACGAUCCCUAGCUGGUCUGAGAGGCUGACCAGCCGCACUAGAGGUGGGACAGGGUCCAGACUCCUACGAGAGGCAGCAGAGGGGAAUGUUGGGCAAUGGGCGCGAGCCUGGUACAGCCGGGCCGCUUGUAUGGAGAAGGCCUUCGGUUUGUAAAGUACUUUCAGGGAGGGGGCGUUACUCGCAGAAGAAGCACCGGCUAACUCCGUGCCAGCCGCCGCGGUAAUAC